rnacentral:rRNA from 1 species
UACGGGGGGGGCAAGCGUUGUUCGGAAUUACUGGGCGUAAAGGGCUCGUAGGCGGCCAACUAAGUCAGACGUGAAAUCCCCCGGCUUAACCUGGGAACUGCGUCUGAUACUGGAGGGCUUGAGUAUGGGAGAGGGAUGUAGAAUUCCAGGUGUAGCGGUGAAAUGCGUAGAUAUCUGGAGGAAUACCGGUGGCGAAGGCGGCAUCCUGGACCAUUACUGACGCUGAGGCGCGAAAGCUAGGGGAGCAAACGGG